UCCUCCGUGGCGCAAUUGGCUAGCGCGUCUGACUGUUAUGAGACCUUCAAGGUCCGAGCAAUCAGGAGGUUGACAGUUCAAGCCUGUCCGGGGGAG